rnacentral:antisense_RNA from 1 species
CAGAAGCCGCGAGCCGUUUCCUUUCUCUUCGGAAAUGGCAGUUUUGUUGUCCUGGAUGAAAGCGAGCGCCGCUGCCUCUCCGAAUGCUGAGCACGCUGGCUUCGCUGUGCCCGGAAGGAAGCCUUUGAAGACCCUGACUCCAGUGUCUCCAGAUAAGAGGCUGAGCUUGUCAGCUCCACUUCUGACUGCUCAUGCAGCAGAAGCAGUGACCGAGGAGAGAAGGGCCGGGUGAAGAAACAAGCGUGAGUGCCAAGAUGAUGCCAAGGGCUGUGAUUUCCUGGUGGGAAGGAAGAAGGAAUAGAAGCCAAAGGAAGGGGGGACGAAAAGCAAAACCAAGAAUCACAAGGAAUCAAGUUCAGAGAGAAUUUUGGUAGAGAUUUUGAGAUGGGGGCUUUAAGUCAGCCGUGGACAUACUGAAGCAAGAGCAAUGAAGGGAAAAAAGGAAAGAGGGGAAAAAAAAGAAGAAGAAUGGGGCCAAGGAGGAUUUAAGACUACCAUUAUGGGUUACAAGUGGAAUUCAUUUUAAUAUUCUUCAAGCAAUGAAAGUAAAAAUUCAAAUAACUUUUAAAUUACCUUAGAUUUCUAAACCAAGUUUCUUGGAAUGUGAAAGUCGUCAAGACUGGGCCCUGCGGGGCCUGGGUUGAGCUACUACUAUCUAUGGAGAUUCUGAGGGUGUUAACCUUAAUGAUGGCAU